rnacentral:ribozyme from 14 species
UCUCACAAAUACUCCACGCACAAAGUCCAAAAAAAAAAAAAAAAAAAAAAAAAAAAAAAGGAAGAAAUAAAAC